AUUGAACGCUGGCGGCAGGCCUAACACAUGCAAGUCGAGCGGAGCGGCGGACGGGGGCGUGAGGCCUAGGAAUCUGCCUGGUAGUGGGGGAUAGCGUCCGGAAACGGGCGCUAAUACCACAUACUAUCAGAUGAGCCUAGGUGGGAUUAGCUAGUUGGUGGGGUAAAGGCCUACCAAGGCGACGAUCCCUAACUGGUCUGAGAGGAUGAUCAGUCACACUGGGACUGAGACACGGUCCAGACUCCUACGGGAGGCAGCAGUGGGGAAUAUUGGACAAUGGGCGAAAGCCUGAUCCAGCCAUGCCGCGUGUGUGAAGAAGGUCUUCGGAUUGUAAAGUACUUUAAGUUGGGAGGCGUUACCCACAGAAGAAGCACCGGCUAACUCCGUGCCAGCAGCCGCGGUAAUAC
rnacentral:rRNA from 1 species